ensembl:lncRNA
GGAGCAGAGAUCUGGGAGGAAGGAGUCCUGUUAGUGAAGUGAGCUACAAAGGAGUGGGAAACGUGUCGGUAACCUUCAGCCAAGUGAGGCGGAGUCUGUUGGCAAGUGGGUAGAGCACUGAGGGGUGGAUUCAGCAGGUCGAGGUUGUGUGGUGGUGUUUGGUCUCGGGAUAAUCACUCCGCACUGUGUGCCGUGGGUUCUUUCUCAGUCUUCUUGAUUGCCAAGAUAUUUGUGUGUAAAUAUUCUUUUUGAACUGGAUUCCCCCUCCUCCUACGACGCUGUUUGUGACAGCGCCGCGGUUCCCUCAGCGACUGUGAUGUGUGAUGUCAUAAGCAGCAGAAUGACCUUGGUGAGUCUGAAGGAUGGAGAUGGACAGAGUGGCCAAGGAA